UCGAGGCCAUGGAAUGGACAUAGACGAAAAGACCAUUCAAGGACUCCGCAAGGCUAGUCGGCAAGAUUAUAGCAGAGGUAGAGAGGCGAGGCAGGGGUGAGGACAUCAUCCAGCUAUUUCGGCAAUCCCUGAAGGACAAUACAGAAGAGACACACAUGGGACUCAAGACCACAGCAGCGAUCCUGCUCUUGCCCUGCCUCUUCAAUGAGGACCCGAGUGGCCUUUAUGUCCAUGACAAGAUUUCAUCGCUCCCCACUCCUUUACUGCACAUCGGCGGAGAUCCAUUUCACCAUGAGAGUGAAAUCACGCUGGCCUUUUAUGGGAAGAACAUCCACACGCUAGAGGACGUCCCCAUGGGACUCUGGGCUCUGCUAGGGCUGUAUUUUUUUAUUUUCAGUUACAUUACCCCCCAAAAAUGAAGAAAAAGACUUAUGUUCUUAAGUUACUUUUACUAGGGCCGGUCAUUGUCACACCCUGACCAUAGAGAGCCCUUGGUUCACUAUGGUGUUGAGGUCAGAGCGUGACUAGAGGGGUGUUCUAGUUUUCAUAUUUCUAUGUUGGUGUGCUUGGUAUGGUUCCCAAUUAGAGGCAGCUGGUAAUCGUUGCCUCUAAUUGGGGAUCAUAUUUAGGUAGCCUUUUUCCCCAUCUGUGUUUUGUGGGAUAUUGUUUGUGUGU